rnacentral:rRNA from 1 species
GACGAACGCUGGCGGCGUGCUUAACACAUGCAAGUCGAACGGAAAGGCCCUGCUUUUGUGCGGUGCACGAGUGGCGAACGGGUGAGUAACACGUGAGUAACCUGCACUUGACUUUGGGAUAUCUUCAGGAAACUGGGGCUCAUACCGGAUAGGAGCUCCUGCUGCAUGGUGGGGGUUGGAAAGAUUCGGCGGUUGGGGAUGGACUCGGGGCUUCUCAGCUUGUUGGUCAGGUAGUGGCUUACCAAGGCUAUGACGGGUAGCCGGCCUGAGCGGGGGAUAGGCGACCCGGGAGGUGGACCGGGCACAAGACUCCUAAGGGAGGGCGCAGUAUCCUACGGUAGGCAGUAGGGGAGAGCAUUGCGGAGCAGGGGGAAGCGUGAUGUAAAAAUGCUCGGUGCGUGAAGAUCUCUUACUGGUUGUAAACCGCUUUCUCAUGUGCCGUAGAGGGCGUGACGGUACCGGGUAAAGAAGCAACGGCUAACUACGUG